AUUGAACGCUGGCGGCAGGCCUAACACAUGCAAGUCGAGCGAGCGGCGGACGGGUGAGUAAUGUAUGGGAAUCUGCCCGAUAGAGGGGGAUAAAUACUGGAAACGGUGGCUAAUACCGCAUACUCUCGGAUGAACCCAUAUGGGAUUAGAUAGUAGGUGGGUUAACGGCUCACCUAGGCGACGAUCUCUCGCUGGUCUGAGAGGAUGCACAGCCACACUGGAACUGAGACACGGCCCAGACUCCGACGGGAGGCAGCAGUGGGGAAUAUUGCACAAUGGGCGCAAGCCUGAUGCAGCCAUGCCGCGUGUAUGAAGAAGGCCUUAGGGUUGUAAAGUACGUUCAGCGGGGAGGCGUUACCCGCAGAAGAAGCACCGGCUAACUCCGUGCCAGCAGCCGCGGUAAUUC
rnacentral:rRNA from 1 species